CUCCGUGCAAUCUCUAAUGAAGUGGUCCUUCGAACCGCAUCCGUAACAGGCCCUGUUAAUAGACUUACCCCAACAUUCACCUAUGUGUCGUCUUCCGCAUUGGGGACAUUCAGGUUUCUCUAGACGAUUAUUGGCCACACUAGCUACCGAAGUAGCUCGGGAGUCCGUCAAUGGUCGUGCUCUGAUGGAAAUUCCCGCAGUCAUCCUCGACUUAUUAGUGUCCUCCCUG
rnacentral:lncRNA from 1 species